UACAGGGGGUGCAAACGUUGCUCGGAAUUAUUGGGCGUAAAGCGCGCGUAGGCGGCUACUUAAGUCGGAUGUGAAAGCCCUUGGCUCAACUGAGGAAGUGCACCCGAAACUGAGUGGCUUGAGUACGAAAGAGGGUCGCGGAAUUCCCGGUGUAGAGGUGAAAUUCGUAGAUAUCGGGAGGAACACCGGUGGCGAAGGCGGCGACCUGGGUCGAUACUGACGCUGAGGUGCGAAAGCGUGGGGAGCAAACAGG
rnacentral:rRNA from 1 species